ensembl:lncRNA
AUGGAAGCCAAUUUUUUUUUUUUUUUUUUAGACAGAGUUUUGCUCUUUUUGCCCAGGCUGGAGUGCAGUGGUAUGAUCUUGGCUCACUGCAACCUCCGCCUCCAGGAUUCAAGCGAUUUUUCUGCCUCAGCCUCCCAGGUAGCUGGGAUUACACGUGAUUACCAGUACAGCACGCCCAGCUAAUUUUUGUGUUUUUCGUAGAGACGGGGUUUCACCAUGUUGGCUAGGCUGGUCUCAAACUCCUGACCUCAGGUGAUCCACCUGCCUCGGCCUCCCAAAGUGCUGGGAUUACAGGCAUGAGCCACCACACCCAGCCAGGAAGCCAAUUUAUAAUAAGUUUUCUUGGUAAACAUGGGUAACUAGUUGAUGACCAUAAUGGUCCCUACCCCUCAAAGUUUGGUGCAUCCUCUUUCUCUCCCACAGCCGUGUGAAGACACAACACAAAGUUGGCCAUCUGAGGACCAGGAAGAGAGCCUCCCCAGAACCCAGCCAUGCCGGCACUUGACUUUGGACUUCCUAGCCUCUGCCAGAUGGGGGUCUUACUAUGUUGCCCAGGAUGAUCUUGAAUUCCUGGCCCCAAGUGAUCCUCCCACUUCAGCCUUUCAAAGCACUGGGAUUACUGAGCCGCUGCAUCUGGCCAGUGCAGGUAUCUCUGUAAGAGGGAGGCAGCGGGCCAUUAGACACACCGAGGAGAAGGCUGUGUGAAGAUGGAGCAGAGAGAGAUUUGAAGAUGCUGGCCUCAAAGACUGGAGUGAUGCAGCCACAAGCCAAGGAAUGCUGGUGGCCACCAGAAGCUGGGAGAGUCCAGGAACUGAUUCUCCCCUGGAGCCUGCAGCAAGUGCACAGCUGAGCAAUAUGGAGUUUAGACUUCUGGCCUCCAGAACUGUGAGAGAGUAGAUUUCUGUUGUGUUAGGCUACCAAGAGUUUGUGGUAAUGCCAGCAGCCAUUGGAAAUGCAUACACUGGGCCAUCUCACAAAUCCCUGGCUCUGAACUAACAGGCAGGUCCCUCCUCAGGCUCCAGUUUAAGUGCUUUGCUUGUGUUGCCUUUUACUCCUCCAGUGAGCCAGAGCGGGAGGACCUACUAGUAUACCCACUUCUUAGAGGAGGAAAAUGAGGUAUUGAGAAAUCAGAUCGUCUUCCCAAGGUCACGGAGUGGGUCUGUGAUUCUCACUGAUGUGGGUGUAAUGCCAGGGGGAACACUUUUCACCAUUCUGCCACUCCGUCCUCCAGCUAUGAACAUAGAUUUCUAAAAACGUUAUAUACACCAGGGUUCAAGUUCUGGUAAAGGAAUCAGGGCCUCCCUCUCUCAGUGCCCCAAGUCAUAAAAGUUAUUAUGUAUAACAACAGCAUUUCACAAUCCCAACUCAGUCACAAGAUGAUGGCACAUUAGUUUGCGCUCCUCCCUCCUAACCCUGCUGUGCCACAGGGGAGCAAACUGGGACCCUAAGAAGUGGCAGCUUGCUCAAAGUCAUGAGGCUCGUCCCCUGAUAGUAGAGCCAGAAUCAGAAGCCAGUUCAGAAUUUCCCCACUCAGCACACAGAGUACAUUUUAGGAGUAAAUUAGGCAGCUAAAAUGUGAAAAGUAAUGGGGGCUUAGUCACAUGAUCCUUGCUAUUGAAGACAGUCCCAAGACCACUGCCCAGAAUUAAACUAUAAAAUCAAAUGUAUUUUCCAAACACAUGCAAGAUGCCUGCCCUCCUCCAGAGGUGAAAGGUGGCCAGGUAAGCCAGACUGGGCACCUCCUAGGGCACUCAAGAUCAGGGGAGGACAUGUGCCAGAACAAGUCCAUUGGCUGAUGGGUGGCCCAUGAGGACUUCCUCCAGUGGGGCAAAGUAUUGAAUCCAUCAGACUGGCUUCCUGCAGUGGGCUGGACAAUUUGUAGAGGACUGGACAACAGAGAAAGAGACACAGGGCUGGGGUAGGGGGCAGGAGAGAAGACCCUGUCCCCAGAGCAGCCUUGGGUCCUGGCAGCUUUCCCUCCUCACUCUUCAU